rnacentral:rRNA from 1 species
UACGAAGGUGGCUAGCGUUACUCGGAAUCACUGGGCGUAAAGCGCAUGUAGGCGGCAUCAACAGUCAGGUGUGAAAUCCCAAGGCUUAACUUUGGAACUGCAUUUGAAACUGCGAUGCUAGCAUUUGGUAGAGGAUAGUGGAAUUCCUAGUGUAGUAGUGAAAUACGUAGAUAUCAGGAGGAACACCGGUGGCGAAGGCGGGUCUCUGGGCCGAUACUGACGCUGAGGAGCGAAAGCGUGGGGAGCGAACAGG